UACGUAGGGGGCAAGCGUUGUCCGGAUUUAUUGGGCGUAAAGAGCGUGUAGGCGGCCGUACAGGUCAGCUGUGAAAACUCGAGGCUCAACCUCGAGACGUCGGUUGAAACCGUACGGCUAGAGUCCGGAAGAGGAGAGUGGAAUUCCCGGUGUAGCGGUGAAAUGACGCAGAUAUCGGGAAGAACACCCGUGGCGAAGGCGGCUCUCUGGGACGGUACUGACGCUGAGACGGCGAAAAGCGUGGGGAGCGAACAGG
rnacentral:rRNA from 1 species